GGGAAUGUGGCUUAGUGGUAGAGUGCUUGCCUAACAUGCAUGAAGCCCUGGGUUCGAUUCCUCAGUACCCCA
rnacentral:tRNA from 1 species